rnacentral:tRNA from 1 species
GGUUGUGUGGCUAAGUUGGUUGAUGCGCUGGACUAGCAAUACGGAGCUGCGGGUUCGAAUCUCUCACCAUAACCA